rnacentral:lncRNA from 1 species
CAAUCCCCAAAUGCACCAUCAAUCUGAGCUGACAUCCACUCUUCCUCUCCACCAGCUGAAUCAGAGGGUGGACUAAUUGGACCUGACAUGUGCAAGGAUAAGGAGCUUUUUAACCUGAGAGCUGCCAGGCCUCCCUAAGUCUCUCAGGGAGCUGAGGGAAAAGCACUCGGUGUGGAGCCACCCAGAGGGUAGAGCCUGGAUGCCUUCAUAGAUCCCUGCCUUGCUGAGAUCGGGAGAUUCAAGCU